GGCUACCAUGCAGUCGAGGGGCAGCAUUUUAGUUUGCUUGCAAACUAAAGAUGGCGACCGGCGCACGGGCUGAGCUAACACGCUAUCCAACCUGCCGAUAACUCGGGGAUAGCCUUUCGAAAGAAAGAUUAAUAUCCGAUAGUAUAUUAAAACCGCAUGGUUUUACUAUUAAAGAAUUUCGGUUAUCGAUGGGGAUGCGUUCCAUUAGUUUGUUGGCGGGGUAACGGCCCACCAAGACUACGAUGGAUAGGGGUUCUGAGAGGAAGGUCCCCCACAUUGGAACUGAGACACGGUCCAAACUCAUACGGGAGGCAGCAAUGAGGAAUAUUGGUCAAUGGACGAGAGUCUGAACCAGCCAAGUAGCGUGAAGGAUGACUGCCCUAUGGGUGGUAAACUUCUUUUAUAUGGGAAUAAAGUAUUCCACGUGUGGGAUUUUGUAUGUACCAUAUGAAUAAGGAUCGGCUAACUCCGUGCCAGCAGCCGCGGUAAUACGGAGGAUCCGAGCGUUAUCCGGAUUUAUUGGGUUUAAAGGGAGCGUAGGUGGAUUGUUAAGUCAGUUGUGAAAGUUUGCGGCUCAACCGUAAAAUUGCAGUUGAAACUGGCAGUCUUGAGUACAGUAGAGGUGGGCGGAAUUCGUGGUGUAGCGGUGAAAUGCUUAGAUAUCACGAAGAACUCCGAUUGCGAAGGCAGCUCACUAGACUGCAACUGACACUGAUGCUCGAAAGUGUGGGUAUCAAACAGGAUUAGAUACCCUGGUAGUCCACACAGUAAACGAUGAAUACUCGCUGUUUGCGAUAUACAGUAAGCGGCCAAGCGAAAGCAUUAAGUAUUCCACCUGGGGAGUACGCCGGCAACGGUGAAACUCAAAGGAAUUGACGGGGGCCCGCACAAGCGGAGGAACAUGUGGUUUNAAUUCGAUGAUACGCGAGGAACCUUACCCGGGCUUAAAUUGCAUUUGAAUAAUCUGGAAACAGGUUAGCCGCAAGGCAAAUGUGAAGGUGCUGCAUGGUUGUCGUCAGCUCGUGCCGUGAGGUGUCGGCUUAAGUGCCAUAACGAGCGCAACCCUUAUCUUUUAGUUACUAACAGGUCAUGCUGAGGACUCUAGAGAGACUGCCGUCGUAAGAUGUGAGGAAGGUGGGGAUGACGUCAAAUCAGCACGGCCCUUACGUCCGGGGCUACACACGUGUUACAAUGGGGGGUACAGAAGGCAGCUACCUGGCGACAGGAUGCUAAUCCCAAAAACCUCUCUCAGUUCGGAUCGAAGUCUGCAACCCGACUUCGUGAAGCUGGAUUCGCUAGUAAUCGCGCAUCAGCCAUGGCGCGGUGAAUACGUUCCCGGGCCUUGUACACACCGCCCGUCAAGCCAUGAAAGCCGGGGGUACCUGAAGUACGAACCGCAAGGAGCUCCUAGG
rnacentral:rRNA from 1 species